GGCGCUUUGGCGGAGUGGUUAUCGCGUGGCACUAGAACUCAUUUAAGCUCUAGAGUAUCCUCUACUCAACAAUAUAUGCCAUUCCCUCUGGGAGCAUAGGUUCAAAUCCUGUAGGCGUCG
rfam:Tstilago maydis 521 chromosome 17, whole genome shotgun sequence.